rnacentral:rRNA from 1 species
UACGUAGGCAGCGAGCGUUGUUCGGAAUUACUGGGCGUAAAGAGUGUGUAGGCGGUGCUCCCAGUCUGUUGUGAAAUCUCCCGGCUUAACUGGGAGGGUGCAGCGGAAACUAGAGUGCUAGAGGGUGGGAGAGUAAGCGGAAUUCCUGGUGUAGCGGUGAAAUGCGUAGAUAUCAGGAGGAACACCUGUGGUGUAGACAGCUUACUGGACCACUUCUGACGCUGAGACACGAAAGCGUGGGUAGCAAACAGG